CACAUUUCCUGUCACCUGGUAGACCUAGAGCCUUGAUGAGAUUCAGAUUCAAGUUUUUUGGGGGGGUGGGCAACACAGUUUCGUAGGUGGCUGCUGAAUACUUCCUAUAGCAUCACAUUAGGAGCCACAUAAUGUCUGGUUAUCCAAAUUUUGCUGCAGUUAAGAUUGACCUUUAUUAGCUGAGAUUCUUCAAUAAAGAAGAACUUUCCCUCAUCAACCAAGGGAUUACUUUCAAGAGGCUCUCUCUUCGGCUUUCUGCAGUUUCAUUACCACGUGACUAGAUACGACUGGAUACAAGGACCUCAGAACGCUUUCACUCUAUGGUCCACUCAAACAUAGAUGCUGUUGUCAUCGGGAUAUCUGUGAGGCAGUGGAGAAGCCAAGGAGGCGGCGGGCAGUGAGGCCUGAGCUCCGGCCACUUGGACUUCCUGGCUGCUCCUUGAACUUGUCAAGGAAACUCCAGACUGAGGACUUUUGCCCUUGCUCUUCCCUCUGCCUCAAAUGUUGUUCCUCCAGAUGGUCACAUGAUUAAGGCUCUCAUUUCCAAUGAUCUCCAUUCAAAUCUCACCUCAUCAGAGGCCUCCCCUCUCACCCUAUUCCAAAUAGCCUCUGGCCCCUUUCUCACCUCCCACUCUGGCCUCCCUCUAUCUCCUUACUCAGCUUUAUUUUUUCUUCAUUGCCUUUAUCACUAUCUGAUAUUAUAUUACAUAUUUAUCCUGCUGUAUUUUUACCAUCUCUUUUUCUCCUAUUAGAAUUUACAUUCCAUAAAGGCAGGGCUCUCAUUCACUGCUGCAUUUCCAUUGCUUAGAUCAGUUUUUGAAUUUAGUAGGUAC
rnacentral:lncRNA from 1 species